GCUAAUUAAGUGUUCACUUACGCACAUUGACUUUUCACGUCAAAAGAGCAUACUAAUGCACUUAGCU
rnacentral:tRNA from 1 species